CAUGUAUUUCGCAUGUACACGUAUUUCGCCUACUAUAUAGUAGGCACCAGUCCAGUUGCAUUAUGGGAUUGUUUGACUCGCGCAGUGUCCAUCGGUUGCAUACUGCAAAAUCUCACCGGAAUUAGAACUCCAUCCGGGUAUUUCUCGCCUACUGUUUCUCGCAUACUAAGAAUUCGGACAUACCACCCCUCUGACGUACUGCUUUUCGCCUACUAUAUAGUAGCAACACUCACAGCACCACACUGGACAUUGCAGCUUCUUAUUGGACAGGUACAGGACAGGCUGAAUGCUGCUGCUGAUGUCUGUGAAGCCGAAAGCUAUGUAAUGGAUAUAACAUUUAAACACAUCAGGAGAGAAAUAGCGCUGAAAUGGGAAGAGAGCUACGGGAGGUAAGUAGUUAAAAACUAUGAUGGCUAAAAUAAUGAGCAUCGUCUUGAAAGCUCUUUUCCUGACCGGGUGCAUGUCAUCCAUUCCUGGAACGGAUUGGCUCAGCACCCACAGGAUGGAGAUGUUGCAGAAGAGCAUUAACGCAAACGUGGCCAGGAUCAUGACUGUGAACACUUUGUCGAAGUUGGGGAUGUUGCCCAUGCACUUCAGUAUGGCGUACACUAGCGUGAUGAACCACAUGACACCGGCACACACGGGACGAUGGCGCUGGUCCUUCAGAGUGUAGAAGACGAUGGGAUGGCACACGGCCAUGUAGCGGUCCAUGCAGAUGCAUGCCAGGAAGAGCGGCGACAUGUCCUUGAUGCCGUAGAAGAAGCGCAGUAUGUAGCAGGUGCUGCUGGUGGUCAGGUACAGCAGGUUGGCCAGCUCCAGUGGCAGGAUGAGGCAGAAGAAGGUAUCCAGCACAGCCAGGUGCCAGAUGAAGAUGUCCGACGUGGACGAGUCGCUCCUGUUGCGGUGGAUCAGCCACAGGACUAUGAGGUUGGCCGGGAUGCCCAUGAACAUGUUAAUAAUCUGCAUUCCCAGGUAGAAGAGGAUGAUCACGGGCAUGUGGCUGCACAUCUCAUACACUGUCUUUUCAGGCACCGAGACAUUUCCGUUAAGGACCAGGGUGUUACUGGUGUCAUUACACAUCUCCAUCGCUCAAAAGCUGGUGCUGAUCCAAACAAGAAACUCCAAAACUGAAAUGAAAGAUUUACAUAUGUAUUAUAAAAGCUCAUAUAAUAUUGUUGCAUUGGGUUGUGCACUAUUUAUGGUCACUGUACGGUUUGAGAUAAUGUUGAGUCUACAUGAAAUUUAACUUUUUAAACUUGACGGACGUGCCCCAUCUCAUCUCAUCUGAUCCAAACAGGAAACUACAAACAAAAAGCUGAAAUGAAAGGUAUACAUAUGUAUUAUAAUAAUGUAUUGAAUUGUACAGCAUCUAUAGGUCACUUUCCAGUUUCCUGAAAUAGUAC
ensembl:lncRNA